rnacentral:rRNA from 2 species
UACGGGAGGCAGCAGUGGGGAAUAUUGCACAAUGGGCGCAAGCCUGAUGCAGCCAUGCCGCGUGUGUGAAGAAGGCCUUCGGGUUGUAAAGCACUUUCAGCGGGGAGGAAGGCGAUAAGGUUAAUAACCUUGUCGAUUGACGUUACCCGCAGAAGAAGCACCGGCUAACUCCGUGCCAGCAGCCGCGGUAAU